GAUGAACGCUAGCGAUAGGCUUAACACAUGCAAGUCGAGGGGCAGCAUGGUCUUAGCUUGCUAAGACUGAUGGCGACCGGCGCACGGGUGCGUAACGCGUAUGCAACUUGCCUCACAGAGGGGGAUAACCCGUCGAAAGACGGACUAAUACCGCGUACACUUGGGAUAGGGCAUCCUGACCCAAGGAAAUGAAAUUCGCUGUGAGAUAGGCAUGCGUCCCAUUAGCUAGUUGGUGAGAUAACGGCUCACCAAGGCGACGAUGGGUAGGGGAACUGAGAGGUUGAACCCCCACACUGGUACUGAGACACGGACCAGACUCCUACGGGAGGCAGCAGUGAGGAAUAUUGGUCAAUGGGCGAGAGCCUGAACCAGCCAAGUCGCGUGAAGGAUGACUGUCUUAUGGAUUGUAAACUUCUUUUAUACGGGAAUAACAAGAGCCACGUGUGGCUCCCUGCAUGUACCGUAUGAAUAAGCAUCGGCUAACUCCGUG
rnacentral:rRNA from 1 species